rnacentral:rRNA from 1 species
GACGAACGCUGGCGGCGUGCUUAACACAUGCAAGUCGAACGGAAAGGCCCUGCUUUUGUGGGGUGCUCGAGUGGCGAACGGGUGAGUAACACGUGAGUAACCUGCCCUUGACUUUGGGAUAACUUCAGGAAACUGGGGCUAAUACCGGAUAGGAGCUCCUGCUGCAUGGUGGGGGUUGGAAAGUUUCGGCGGUUGGGGAUGGACUCGCGGCUUAUCAGCUUGUUGGUGGGGUAGUGGCUUACCAAGGCUUUGACGGGCAGCCGGCCUGAGAGGGUGACCGGCCACAAUGGGACUGAGAUACGGCCCAGACUCCUACGGGAGGCAGAAGUGGGGAAUAUUGCACCAUGGGCGGAAGCCUGAUGCAGCAACGCCGCGUGCGGGAUGACGGCCUUCGGGUUGUAAACCGCUUUCGCCUGUGACGAAGCGUGAGUGACGGUAAUGGGUAAAGAAGCACCGGCUAACUACGUG